CUCAGUCAGCAGAUGUGAAUAUUAUGAUAUCAUUAGAGUCAGAUGAAAGACGUUCAUCCAGUUGAGGUCAAUUCUCUACAGGUAUUCAGAAAUGGGAACUCUGUGUGUGUGUGUGUGUGUGUGGGCAUGAUCUAUGUGGUGGGGGUUUUGGAGAGCUGUAUCUGUAGGAAGCAGGGUGAGUGAGAGAGCCUGCAGAAAGUGCUUCUGCUUCCUUCUGGAAUGCAAUAGAUAGAAUGCUCUCGUCUUCUCCAUGGGCUUCUCUCCUUUCUCUCUUAGGUUUUCAGUUGACUGGGCCAAGUACACCGGUGUUAAUAUGCUUAAGUCAAAAUCCC
rnacentral:lncRNA from 1 species